CAACUCUCAACAACGGAUAUCUUGGCUCCCGUAACGAUGAAGAACGCAGAGAAAUGCGAUAUGUAGUGUGAAUCGCAGAAUUCCGUGAACCAUAGUAUCUUUGAACGCAUAUUGCGCGUGAGGUUUCGGCCGAGGGCAUGUGUGUCUCAGUGUCG
rnacentral:rRNA from 1 species